CCUCUGAGGGCAGCCUUUGCCAGUGCCUCAUCACCCUUAUUGUAAAAAACUUCCUUAUGUUCAAUCUAAAUCUCCUCUCUAUUAAUCCAAAACCAUUUCCACUUGUCCUAUCACAAGAGACCCUGCAUUAGUAACCUGCUCUGUGUAUGAGACACACAGAAAGCUUGCAGAAAGCCUAUGGAUGUGUUUAGGCUUGGUAAAUAUGUACAAGAAGAAAAAAAACAGUGAUUUUGUUUACCCAUCUCAAUACCUCAACAUCACAUGAGAGUCCUAUUUUGCUCUCAGUCCCUCGAGUAAGACAAAGGCCCAAUCCCCUUACUGACAUGUCCAGGUUUUGUAGUCCAUAUACAGAGCAUGUUGCAUGAGGGGGUUUCUGGUGACAGAGAGUUGGAGAAUAUCAAUGACAAAAUUGACCAAGAUUUCAUUUUUCCUGGUAACUUUCCAUUUGUGGAUGAGGUGCCAUGGAGACACGGAUAUGUCUGAUGAUUCCCCAGGACUCCUGGUGUGGGAUUGGUGUCACCUGCCCAUGCAUCCUGUUGUGCUUAGCCACCAAGGAGGCCCUUCGGAGGCUGGUGGUCAUGCUGAGACUGAUGGUGCAGCAGAUGAAGAAAAGCUGCAUGUAUGUGAUAGCUGUGCGGAAAGCUGCUCUGGGUAUGCAGUCUGCACUGUCUUGCUCCUUGGUUGUUUGCCAUAACACUGACUUCUCCCAGCCAGGCUGCAUCCUGAACAAAUGAUUAAAUGAGAUAUGGUGUCAUGGGACGGGCCCAAGUCCUUCCCUAGAUGAAAGUGUUGCCCACGCUAUCACUGGCAUUGGUGGUUGUCUUAGGGGGAGCACAGAGAACAGGGGUGAAUUGUCCUGAGACGGAAAAGACAUGGUAGGGUUGGCCGGCAUGGACCACAAGGGCAGUGAGAGUGUCCUGGUGGCUUCAGGCUCCUUUGCUUCCUGAGAUGACAUUACAGCACUGGCAUUUGCUGGGAUGCUUGGCAGCGCAUCCCCUGUAGCUGAUGAAAAGGCUUUGUACAAGGGGACAGCGUGGGCUGCCUUGCAGAGAGGCAGGCUUCCCACGUUGCCAAUUAACUGCAAUCUCAGCGACUCCAAUGUCUUUUUUUUGGGGCUGGAGCCAUUUAGCCCACUCAGAGGACUUCAUGCCCUUGCUGUCGAGCCCAGUGGAGCUGAACAUAACCCUUGUUUUUCCUAUCAUUUCACACAGAGCUGAGGUCACCGAGUUCCCAUUUAGCCACCCUUAUAUUCAGCAUUUCCUCCUGCAGAGCCUACACUCCCUGCUCCUCCCAGAGAGCAGCUCCCAUCAUCUCAACUUGCAAAUGGAAGGGGAGCACAGAGCAGCAAGAAAAGAGAUUGAGCAUCAUUCUCUCUCUCUCUAUGUAGCUUAAAUACAGAAAUUUAAACACCUCCUGGAGGGAGGAGUGCACUCAGGCACCCUCUCAAUUCUUUUCCUUUGCAUUUUGUUCAUGGUAAAUCUUUAUUUACAGUGAUAGCGAGUGUGGGUUGUGGUGCUAGAAGUGUAGGCGUGUGGGCAGUGGGGUUGGAAAUUGGCCCAGCAAUCUGCUGGUUUUAUGACUGUGUGUAUUGGCUGCUAGCAGCACCCAUGAUACACUACGGGUUUUCCCCUACUCAAGAAGGGUCAGCCCUAGACCCAAGGAAUAACGUCUAGCUCCAGGAGGGAGAAGAGAAAUGAAGGGUAACAUGGAAGCUGUCCGCCUUCUGACCUGGAAUCAGGGAGCCUUGCUCUUUGCUGCACCUUAUCCAUGGCCAGAUUCACAAGCAGCAGUGUUCUGUAGGGGUAGGCAUUAGUGAAGGCAUGAGCUCAAAGCAUGGUGAUGGUGCAUACCAUGUCAGAACAGGAAUUAACCAAGCUGGCCACACACACUGUGCUAAACUCAUGCAGUAGGGAUCUCCAAAAGUGUGCAAGCUUGGAGCCAGCCCCUCCUGGUUAGGGCUGGGGUUUGCUUUGAGAUGCUUGCCUUUUGUUGUGGAGAGACCUCUCUCUUCUGGAGUCAAAGUGCAAAAAUACAGUCAUAGCCCUGUUAUGCCCAUAACUUGUCUGUGUGUUUUUAUGCUUUCUUUUGCUGGGUGAUAGAUUACUCUAAUGGCUGUGCUGACAUUCAUUUAAUGGUACUCACUAACACUUUCAUUUAAUAAAAGACUUUUCUCACUUUGAA